rnacentral:antisense_RNA from 1 species
UGCCUGGAGUGAAGAUUCUGCCCAUUGGUCAAGAGACCUCCCUCUCAGAUGCUGGCUCUGCCCCUGCCUUUGGGGGUCGACCCUUGUACUCGCAGGACCUUAGGUGACUCUGUAAGUAUAGUAAAACGCAGUUAAUAUGAUGUUAUCAUUCAAUUAUUUUUAAAAAGUGGAGCAACCAGUUGACAAGGUAAGACUUUUUCCUGACAUCUGUGGUUGUUUAUUUAAAAGAACAGACAAUAUUUAAAAUGAAAGACAAACUCAGAGGUUGCAGUGAGCCGAGAUCGCACCACUGCACUCCAGCCAAGGUGACAGAGCAAGACCUCUUCUCAAAAAAGAAAAAGCACCCAUAAUUCCAACUGAAAGUUAACUACAUUCUAUAUUUUGUCAUAAUUUGUUUUCCAUCACCUUUUUGUAUUUACAUUUAUUUUACAUAUUUAAAUAAAUCCAUAUGUAUAGUUUUGUAUCCCACUUUUGUUUUUUACUUAACAUUGUAACCGUUUUACUGUCACUAAAAACUAAAAAUUUUUGAUAGCUGUAUCAUAUUCUACUGUAUAGAUAUACUGUAAUUUACUUAACCAUUCUCUAAUGUUGCAUAAACUAUUUGUUUACAAUAUUUUUCUAUUAAAAAACAACUGACAUUAA